rnacentral:misc_RNA from 1 species
GAUGAAGAACGCAGCAAAAUGCGAUAAGUAAUGUGAAUUGCAGAAUUCAGUGAAUCAUCGAAUCUUUGAACGCACAUUGCGCCCGCCAGUAUUCUGGCGGGCAUGCCUGUUCGAGCGUCAUUUCAACCCUCAAGCACAGCUUGGUGUUGGGACUCGCGUUAAUUCGCGUUCCUCAAAUUGAUUGGCGGUCACGUCGAGCUUCCAUAGCGUAGUAGUAAAACCCUCGUUACUGGUAAUCGUCGCGGCCACGCCGUUAAACCCCAACUUCUGAAUGUUGACCUCGGAUCAGGUAGGAAUACCCGCUGAACUUAAGCAUAUCAAUAAGCGGAGA